CUCUGCCUCCCGGGUUCAAGCGAUUCUCCUGCCUCAGCCUCCUGAGUAGCUGGGAUUACAGGUUUGGAUGGGACAAGCUCUGCCAACUACACAGCACAUAGUGAUGAAGAGGAAAAGGCAGAUGAAGCUGAAUAGUUCAUGAAAGACCACCUAGGCAAAGACAAAGAUUUUAAACUGGUAAACUACAUCCAAAGACAACUCUUGCUGUUAAAAGAUGAGAUGCACAAAAGUGGAUGCAAAAAUCACUUAGUAACUAGGUGAGACGCUGGUGGCCUGAAUUGCGGUGACAUUUGAGAUUAUUUUGAAGUUACAGUGGACAGGACUCGAAGCAUUCUGGAGUAGAUCGCAUUCAUCUCUUUUGAAUUAAACACUGGCAUUUUUGGAACAUGUACAGUUUGAAGUACAUGUGAGUCAUACAAAUGUAAAAAUGAGUCUGGAGGAAAAAUACCUGGAAACAGGCCUUUACAUCCUAUUUAAAACACUGAGCAAAAUGGGAAAGGUCAAGGACUGAGGCCUUAGUGUACAACCAACUCAACAGUCAUUGCUUUUCUCUACAUUAACAAGGAGUCUCAUGACAUUUUAUUCAAUUUCAAGGGUACAGACAAGCAGCAAGUUUCACAGUUAAACACAGAAAUAAUGCAGCACUAGAAUUACUGGCUUGGAUGGCCGUAUUUGAGGUUGUUCAGCGUGCCAACAGCUAAGUAAGUGGCCAGCUAUCCAGUUUGCUCCAUUGUGUGUGCUGUGCUGGGCGCCAUUACUCCUAACUAGAAUGGAAAUGAGGUGUAUUUACAGAGAAAAUAUUUUGUCCUUCAAAUGCCAGAGACUGCAGAGUAUCUUUUUGAAGUCAUAGAGGCUUCAGUCUAUAAAUGAAUCACUUAUUUCCAACAGGUUUAUCUCUAAGUUAACUUUUAAGCACAGCCUUCAGGAUUUCAGAUUAAAAAAAAAAAAAAAAAAAGCUGUAAACUGUUGUCCUUAAGAAUAUUAGCACGAACUAGCUCCUAGCUUGUUUUGCCAAGGUAUUUUUAAAUGGUUACACUGACUGGAAACAGAACAGCUCAAUUAUAUUUGAUUAACGCUGUAGCACCCCAAAUGCACUACACAACCACAAACAUUCUAAUCAUAUCACAGUUUAACAAGGUAUCAGUCCUUCUGGAUGAAGACGACAAAGCAAGGGAUUCUGCAGAUUUUAACCACUGUCCUCUCUAGGGCACUACAGUAGUUGCCACAAGCAGUUAAGCCUUUAACAACUGAGGUUCUGAUUCAGGGUUACUAAAAUGACAGUGAUUGAGUACAUUUAAAAAUAUCUUCAUCCCAUCAACUCAUUAAGAAGUGAGACUAUACUCCUAGCAUAAAGAUAAAAGGAUAAUAAAUACACUGGAAAAUAAAAAUAAUUAGAUUUAAAA